GCCCAGCCAGUCUGGUGGCUUUGACCCUCGGUUUGUAACCGAGUGGGUUCGGGUUCGAGUCCCGAGUAAGACA
rnacentral:tRNA from 1 species